GAUCUCUCUGCGGAAUGGAACUGCUUUCCUGAAGCAAAUGUGACCAGAAGGAAUCUGACACAACCAACCCUUCCUUUGCAAUCAACGUGGGAUCCAAAACAAACCUUCGGCGCUCCCGGCAUCGCUGCCCAAGGAACCAGGCAUCCUGCAAAUAAACACUGAAUUGCAAAUCUGCGGUGCCCUGCUGAGCAUGCCUAGCAGCAGGGCAAAGCUGUGUCAGUGCAGAACUGCAGCCUCUGAGGCCUUCCUUGGUGCUGAGGUGUCAAUUUAACUCGAGACCGAACCUCUGGAAGUUACAAAAACUAGAGAUGCAAACAGGAACUGCGAAGUGAUAUAUGCUGAGUGAUGAGAACUCAGAGUAAAACCGGAUAUUAAUUGUAAGAAACGUGAAGUCCUAAUUUCUCCCCAGCUCCCCAAAUAGAUUGGGAGUGGAAAUAAAUGCUUCCAAGUAGGAUAUUCUUGGUGAAUU
rnacentral:lncRNA from 1 species